AUGGUCGUACCAGGUAUGGUCACGAUUUGGAUGUGAACCAGAUUUAACAAAACUAUAUAUAUUCUUAUGUCCUACCACAGAGAGUUUCAUAUUCUAUGUGAAAAGAUGUACCAGGUGUGCGCAACGUGUGGGGCGGAAAAACACACAUGGCAGCACCAUAUAUGGUCACGAAUGGAUGUGAUCCAGAUUUAACAUAACUAUUCCUAUUUUUAUGAUCAUGACCUUUGAUCUAGAUAUAGAGAGUUAGAAUGUGUAUCUUUUUGACCUUUGACCUAUACCUGUCAAAACUAGGGUUACAAUAUAUACAAACUAUCUUCUCUCUCUGGUGGGGUAAGAUCCUCGCUAGCAGAUCUCCUCUCCCACUUCCAAUGUACUUUUGAUCAUUCCCCUGACGGCUGGGAGACCGGUCAAGAGCUCCUUGCGAUUAUGCAGGGCUCCCGUGACCUGGUGGACUACGCUCUGGAGUUCUGCACCAUUGCUGCAAGGAGUGCAUGGAUGAGCCGGCACUGAAGACCGCGUUCCGUCAGGGGCUCAAUCCCGAGCUGGUUCAAGAGUUGGAGUGCUGGGGCGAACAGUUAACCUUCGAUGAUCUCAUCGACCUGGCAGUACGGUUGGACCACCUUCACCAUAUGAACCGUCCCGCACUGUGGAGCCCAUUGCCACCAGAGCCACUACCUCCAGCAGAACCCAUGCAGCUCGGCUGGGCCCGGAUCCGUGAGGAGGAGAGAGAGAGAGAUGACACAGAGAUUCACUGUGCUUCUAUGCGGAAAAAAACACCCACGCCGUUCGCCAGUGCCCACAUAGGAGGUCACGGCCAACCGAGGGGAGCACAGCCAGUCAAUCUCGUCAUCCCCGGAUGAGUCCAUUCCAGUUAUGUAAAUCUCGUGUUUUUGUCUUACCUGUGGUGCUUCAUAUUCAGGUCAGUCUAUUGUGCUUACAGCGCUCAUCGACUCUGGGGCAGCCGAGAACUUCGUAGAUGAGAGGAACAGUGCAGACUCUCGGCGUCCCCAUUAAGUGCCUGCUCCAGCUUCAGCAAGUGCAAUCCAUUGAUGGGUCCCCAAUAGGAGGCAGGGUCAUAUCAGACUGCACAGCACCAAUCACCCUGCAAGUCAGUGCCCUUCAAUAUGAGACCAUUGUCUUGUAUGUCACGGUUUCCACCUGGCACCCCAUAAUUCUCGGCCUACUGUGGCUCGAACGUCAUAACCCUCAGGUAUCCUGGGUGGACAAACAGGUGACCAAAUGGUCCCCUUACUGUCUACGACACUGCCUGAUGGGUCCUACGGUUCCUGUGGCCACCACAACGGUGGAAAGUCCUCUGUCCCAUGUCCCUGUCACCGUUCUGCCAGAAUAUCAAGUCCUAAGUGAGGUGUUCAGCAAAGAAAGGGCAAGCGGAUUACCACCACACAGACCCUAUGACUGCGCCAUAGACCUCCUCCCUGGAGCUAGCCCACCAUGGGGUCGAGUAUACCCGCUCUCCCAAGCGGAACAUCGGGCCAUGGAUGCGUACAUUCAAGAAGCUCUCCAUCAGGGGUAUAUUCGGCCAUCCAUGUCACCCUCGUCUACUACGUUCUUUUUCGUGGAGAAGAAAGGAGGGGGCCUUCGACCAUGCAUCGAUUAUUAGGGUCUCAAUCAGGUGACAGUGAAGUACCGUUAUCCCCUGCCACUAGUGCCCACAGCCCUUGAACAGCUAAGGCCGCAACCUUUUUCACGAAAUUAGACUUAUGCAGCACUUACAACCUGAUCUGCAUCAGGGAGGGAGAUGACUGGAAGACGGCUUUUAGCACCACCUCCGGGCACUAUGAGUAUUUGGUCAUGCUGUAUGGGCUCACUAACGCUCCCUCAGUAUUCCAAAACUUAAUCAAUGACGUCCUGAGGGACCUACUGGGGGGGUGCGUCAUCGCCUACAUCGAUGAUAUCCUGAUAUACUUGACGUCCUUUGAAGAACAUACCAAACAUGUCCGUAAAGUGUUGCACCGCCUGCUGCAAUAUCAGCUGUAUGUGAAAGCUGAGAAGUGUGAGUUCCAUCAACGCACCAUCACUUUCCUGGGAUAUAUCAUUAGUCCGGAGGGGGUCGCCAUGGACCAACGCAAGGUAAGGGCGGUGGUGGAGUGGCCCACUCCCCAAACCAUCAAGGAAUUGCAACAUUUCCUGGGCUUCACGAACUUUUACCGGCGAUUCAUCCGAGAUUUGGUAAAAUCGCACAACCCCUGAUGUCCCUCAUAAGGGGUAAACCUCGGCGUCUUCUUUGGACCUCCCAUGCCCAGGAGUCCCUGGAAAAGCUUAAGCGGGAAUUUACCACAGCCCCCAUCCUCCGACACACGGAUCCCUCCAGACCGUUCGUCGUGGACAUUGAUGCGUCUGAGAUGGGAGUGGGAACCAUUCUGUCUCAGAGGUUUGGGGACAGACCCAAGUUGCACCCCGUGGCCUUCUUCUCAUGAAAGCUGUCGCCUGCUGAAUGUAACUAUGAUGUGGGGAACCGGGAACUCCUGGCAGUCAAAUUGGCCCUAGAAGAGUGGAGGCACUGGUUGGAAGGCGCUGUCCACCCGUUCAUAAUCUAUACAGAUCACAAAAAUCUAGAGUACCUGAGGACUGCUAAAUGGCUCACGCCCCGCCAAGCACUCUGGUCUCUGUUCUUCUCCUGCUUCCAGUUCACACUGUCAUACAGGCCAGGAACAAAGAACACGGAGGCCGAUGUUCUAUCCCGUAUCCACUCUCCUGAAGGGCGGGCAGAGCACGAAAAGUAUAUCAUGCCCCCCUCCUGCAUUGUGGGCGCCAUAGAGUGGGCCCUGGAUUACACCUUAGCUCGCUUCUCCAGGUCACGAAUCCCAACAGCCUGUCCUCUAGGGAAACAAUUCACGCCAAAACGUUACCGUCUAUAACUUGUCACCUGCACUCACACGACGCUAGCGACGGGGCACCCGGGAGCCCAUCGCACUUACCAAAUGCUGGCCGAAAAAUAUUGGUGGCUCCACAUGCCUAGGGAGGUACAGCGCAUCGUGUCCUCAUGUUCCACCUGUGCUCACCUGGCUCUGGACUUUACAAUGGACCUGCCGGAGUCACAAGGCAACAUGGUGAUACUGGUGGUCGUGGACCGAUUUUCAAAGUCCCUACGCCUGAUUCCACUUUCGGCACUUCCUUCUGCCUUUGCCACAGCCAACCUAAUGUUCCAGCAUGUAUUUUGCUACUUUGGCAUCCCAGAGGAAAUUGUGAGUGACAGGGGUCCCCAGUUCACGUCCCGAGUCUGGGCCAGUUUCAUGGAGAAGAUGGGAGUCAUCGUUAACCUCACUUCCGCUUACCACCCCCAAGCCAACGGACAGGCAGUGCCAAUCAGAAAUCCUCCGAUUACUCCGAACCUUUUGCGCCACCAAUCCGGAGGACUGGAGUCACUUCCUCCCGUGGGCGGAAUACUCACAGACUCGCUGCGACAAUCUGCCACCCAGCUAACCCUGUUCCACUGCAUCUUAGGUUAUCAGCCACCAUUGUUUCCCUGGAACGCCUCCCCACUGACUCACCGGCAGUAGACGAUUGGUUUCGCCGGAGUGAACAGGUCUGGAAACACACCCAUCAACGGUUGGUGCAAGCCUCCCGCAGUGCCUGUCCGCCUUUUGUUUGGCGGUGUCACCCCAACUAUCAACCCAGGGACCGGGUGUGGCUCUCGACGAGAAACCUAAAGUCGCCUUUCUCGAACAGUAAACUGGGACCCAAGUAUACUGGCCCUUUCCGGAUCCUGAAGUAGGUUAACGAGGUCACGUACCGCCUGGACCUGCCCAAGCAUGUCUCACUCCUCAAGCCGAUGACACCAGGAGAGGGGGACUCGAGUAUCUAGUGGACUGGGAGGGACACGGCCCAGAGGAGCAGUGUUGGAUCUUGGAACCUGGAACUUGCGCGAAAACUUCCACGCUGCUCACCCAGAGAGACCAGGACCCCGGAGGAGAGGACGGCCUUGGAGGAAUCCAGUUCCCGGCGUGAGCCCUUUGGGGGGGGCAAUGUUAUGCCACGGCGAACUCGCGGCCACAGAGCCGACAAGAACUACACUUCCCAGCCGGGCUCGAGUUCGCCGUAGUACUGAGUGCCAACACCUGUGUUCCAUCUAAGGUUGACAGCGCGGCGCGAAGUAAACACUCAGUAUCCCAAACGCUGUCGUUCUAGCAAGCCGUUGUCUACAUGUUGGACUUUUCUGGUUUACAGAUAUACGCUUCGUCUCUGAUUCAUGAUUUCCCGAAGACCCCUUUAGAUUAUCUCGUUGCAUCGUUUGUUCAUCAUCUGUUGCUUCGGACCAUGUUCUCCGCUGUGUUCCUCGUUUUCCUGCUGCUGUUUGCCCGUGCUUGUCUCCCUGCUAGAGAGCAGUACGACGCCUACGCAAUUCAGACAACAACCAUCACAAAUAUGAUGCACAAACUGGGUUCACGGGGAAACCUGGAGCCUAUCCCAAGGAGCAUCAAGCACAAGGCGAGGUACACCCUGGACAGGGUGCCAAUCCAUCGCAGGCGAACGUGCUAACCACUAAGCCACCGUGCGCCCUAAAGACCAAUAGUGUAUUUUUACAAAUUCAUUUUUGAAUUCUCCUCUUCACAGGGUAAAUUGACUAGACACCUUUUGCAGGUGUUGUGUAUGAGUAAUUUUGUUAAUGCUGACCCAGAAGUUAUAAAAUGUAGCAAUUUAAACUAUUCUUUAAAAAUAUAUAUUUUUUAGACAUUGGAUUGCACAUUUAAUAAAGUGUCUUUUGUUACUAAUAAUAUAUUUUUGUUCUGUUCAACAUCCUGCAAGACAUAUUAUGAAACUCUAAGGAGGAAACAAUCGAUGACCCAGGAUGAAAAAGCAGUGCUGAGAAACACUGUUAAAACUGUGGCAAAAAAAAAAAAACAAGCAAAGAAAGAGAAGAGUAAUUUAAAUAAUUUGAUUGAUGUAGCUUUUUUCUUUUCAAAAUGCUAUUAGCUGUUCAGUGGUUGUCAGUGGUUACUGUGGACAGAGUUACCAUUAUGUUAUGCAGUGGCUGGAGUCCAGGUCUAAGGUCCUGCAGACAAAUUUGGAAAGAGAACUGUGGGAUACAGCAACUGUGGACAUGAUGCCCAGUUUUAUUGUUGUUAUUAUUUCAUAUAUUAUUCUUGUUAUAUUUUGGACAUUCCAUGCUAUUCUUAUUAUUUUGUAUAUUCUUUUAAGAUAUUUAAGGCCCAGUUUAUAUUGUGAACAGUUUUGAUUUUAGGGUGUAUAAGCUAAGGCUGUGGGUAGGCUGAAUUUUAAGUCUAACCAAUAAAAUUUUAACCAAUGCAUGCAGUGACCAAAUAUCUGUCAAGAUUUUAGGAUAGAUUAAGGUUAAGACCCUGUUUACAUUAGUGCUUUUUCGUUUUAAAACGGCAUUUAAAAAUGAAAAUGAUCCUCGUCCACACUGGUGUUUCCACUGUGUUUCCGAACGAUCUCCGUCCACACUACACGACCGAAAAAGCAUGUCACAUGACUAUUCAUGCACACUGGGCAUGCGCAUACAAGUGUAAACAGGAAGUUGCUUGCUAGUCACAGGCAGGCACAACAAUGAGCAUGAUUGCCAGCGUUCCAUGUAGGACCUACGCCGCUUGAAAUGAGAUUUGGUGUAAAUAACUGUAAUCAUAGCUUGCCUCUUGUGCAUUUAAGCAGCUGUAGUAUUAUAAAAUACUGAAUUUAACUGCAUAAUCUUAGCAUAUGGCCGCAAAGAAUGACAACAAAGCCAGCAAAGCUGGUUCAGUCUCCAUGUUGUGUAUACGAUCAAGGUAGCAUUAUGGUCAUGUGGUAGGGGCUUGAUGAAUCAGGGAAGGGUAUGCAAUGAUCCAGAAGGCUCAAUCAGGGGGCAAAUUUGGGCAGCCACACGUUCAUUUUGAAAAGUCUUCGUUUUGGUCUGUUUACACUGAAACGCGAGCCCAGUGUUUUCAAACUAAAACAGGGUCUUUGGCGUUUCCAAAAGUUUCCAUUUUCAGCAGUCGAAAAUGCCAGAGUAGUGUAGACGACAGGCAUAACCAUAGCAAAAGUUAAGUGUUUUAAAAUGAAAAUGCACUAGUGUAAACAGGGCCUAAGGUCAACCGAUCCAGUUUGAGAUGAAUGAACAAUAGGUGAGAAAUUAAUUAUCACUUCGGUGAUAACCUCCCCUGACAGGAUUAACUUCCAUGGCAACACAUGCACAUAGCAUGGAAGGUUACGUCAGUCUCUAUACACCCGAAAUGGGAUAUAAUCGGGUGUACACGUACGUGUGCAAUGUGACACUCCCAGCCAGUACAUUUUUGAAUACGUCUGAAAUUCAGUGGCAUACACAGGAGUCUACUGGUCCGAUUACAGCUCUCUUCAUGCAGUGUAUCUUGGCAAAGGGAGGUAGCACAAAGUAUUGACUAAAAAGGAUGUCAACAAUUCUUGUACACCUAUAUUUAAAAUAUAUUUUUUUAAGCAAAAGAUCAAAAGGUUAAACAAUA